rnacentral:rRNA from 1 species
GUGUCAGCAGCCGCGGUAAUACGUAGGUGGCAAGCGUUGUCCGGAAUUAUUGGGCGUAAAGGGCUCGCAGGCGGUUUCUUAAGUCUGAUGUGAAAGCCCCCGGCUCAACCGGGGAGGGUCAUUGGAAACUGGGAAACUUGAGUGCAGAAGAGGAGAGUGGAAUUCCACGUGUAGCGGUGAAAUGCGUAGAGAUGUGGAGGAACACCAGUGGCGAAGGCGACUCUCUGGUCUGUAACUGACGCUGAGGAGCGAAAGCGUGGGGAGCGAACAGGAUUAGAAACCCCAGUAGUCC